UCUGAGACGCCCUAUACGAUGCGCGUGAAAAGUUAUCGGGUUUCACAUAAUACUCUGCGGUGCGGUCUCACAGGAUCCCGUCGGUAUUAUAUUUAUAUACAGAGGCUAGCAAAUGCCGUUGCUCUCGCAAUUAAGAUUGCAAGAAAUAAAUCACCUGGAUGGGCCCUAGUUUUGGGGGACAUUAGCUCACGGGAGAAUCCGUCCAAAGAUCUUGGAACACGCAUGCUGGUCCAGCAUUAAUAAUUGGCGGGGAGACCCAUCACGGCCGGAACACACCUUCCAAAUUAUUGAUGGCCGCGGGUCCUACAUCCAAAUUAUGCGAGCCGGAAAAUAACGUGUCUGGACCUUACACUCACCAGGAUGCCUAUCGAACGUCCCCACGGGGCGCUGCAAUUAUUUCCGUUUGAUGCUUGAAAGGCCGUAUGGCAUGGUUCCACCAACGCUUUAUACCAACCUUUGGAAAUUUGAAGGGCGUGUGAGGCCAGUUUAAAUAUCAAAAUUAUGGAGUCUAUAGGUACGAUCCCUUCUUAUUUCCAUAACGAUUCCCUCAAGGCAUCAACCUUGAGUUGGAUGAAGCUUCUAAAGUGUCUCAAACGAUGAACUGUAAGUUAGGCAGCUUC
rnacentral:lncRNA from 1 species